AGAGUUUGAUCAUGGCUCAGAACGAACGCUGGCGGCGUGCUUAACACAUGCAAGUCGAGUGCGCGGUUGUAGCAAUACAACUGGCGCACGGCGCACGGGUGCGUAACACGUGGGUAACCUGCCCUUUGGUGGGGAAUAACUCCGCGAAAGCGGAGCUAAUUCCGCAUAAGAUCCGCAAGGAUGAAAGCCGCAAGGCGCCGAAGGAGGGGCCCGCGCCCGAUUAGCUAGUUGGUAGGGUAACGGCCUACCAAGGCUUUGAUCGGUAGCUGGUCUGAGAGGAUGAUCAGCCACACUGGAACUGAGACACGGUCCAGACUCCUACGGGAGGCAGCAGUGGGGAAUCUUGCACAAUGGGCGAAAGCCUGAUGCAGCGACGCCGCGUGGGGGAUGAAGCAUUUCGGUGUGUAAACCCCUUUCGAUCCGGACGAAACCCCGCAAGGGAUUGACGGUACGGAUAUAAGAAGCCCCGGCUAACUACGUGCCAGCAGCCGCGGUAAGACGUAGGGGGCCAGCGUUGUUCGGAAUUACUGGGUGUAAAGGGUUCGUAGGCGGUGCGGCAAGUUGGGAGUGAAAUCUCUGGGCUUAACCCAGAGGCUGCUUCCAAAACUGCUGUGCUUUGAGUGUGGGAGAGGCGCGUGGAAUUGCAGGUGUAGCGGUGAAAUGCGUAGAUAUCUGCAGGAACACCCGUGGCGAAAGCGGCGCGCUGGACCACUACUGACGCUGAGGAACGAAAGCUAGGGGAGCAAACAGGAUUAGAUACCCUAGUAGUCC
rnacentral:rRNA from 1 species